AAUGCACAGGUUGUGAACUCGAUGAGUAGGGCGGGACACGUGGUAUCCUGUCUGAAUAUGGGGGGACCAUCCUCCAAGGCUAAAUACUCCUGACUGACCGAUAGUGAACCAGUACCGUGAGGGAAAGGCGAAAAGAACCCCGGCGAGGGGAGUGAAAAAGAACCUGAAACCGUGUACGUACAAGCAGUGGGAGCAUCCUUUUGGGUGUGACUGCGUACCUUUUGUAUA
rnacentral:rRNA from 1 species